ACAAGCCUGAGAAACGGCUAGUAGGACUAAGGUCUGCAGCAGGCGCGAAACUUACACAAUGCUAGAUUUUUGAUAAUUAGCGAUGUAGUGAAGAAAAAUAACGAUGUACUUUCAUUCAAACAUGAUAGUACAAUUGGAAUGAGACGACUAUAAAUGAGUUAGUCGAGUAACAAAUGGAGGGCAAGUCUGGUGCCAGCAGCCGCGGUAAUUCCAGCUCCAUUAGCAUACAUUAAAGUUGUUGCGGUUAAAAAGCUCGUAGUUGAAUGUUAAGCGGGUUUUAUUGCUAAUAACCGCUAAGGAAUCUCCGGAUUCUGGUUAUUAUUGCAAUCUAAAGCCCGCCGUUUCGUCACUUAAUCGAGUGCGAAGCAGGGCGGAUCUAUGCGGUCGCAAGGCCGCUAGGCACGCCAAGUUUACCUUGAGAAAAUUAGAGUGCUCACAGCAGGCAGUUGAGGUGUAAAAGCUUCUUUAUGCUUGAAUAAUGUUGCAUGGAAUAAUAGAAUACGGCCUCGGUUCUAUUCUGUUGGUCUUAUAGAACAACAAACAAGUUGGAUGGGGCGUCAAUCGUUGCUUGAAAUGGGGGGUUUGUAAUAGUUAGUUGCCUUGGAAGUAAAAACCCAAGCGCCUUCUAGCACAAUCCUAUUCCAAACUCAUUUCAUGACCAGCGAGCUCAUUCUCCAACUGAGGCAAUGGUUAAAAGAAAUAGUCGCGGCGGCAUCAGUACUGCAUCGUGAGAG
rnacentral:rRNA from 1 species